CCUCCCGUAACGCGGCCUCCCCGGCCCGGGCAGCGCCCUCUGAGGGGCCGCAGCGCUUCCUGCCCCUGCGGGCGCCGCCCUCCGCGCCUCCGCUCCGGACUUCCCAAGCAAGUGCCUGCCUGGCAGGGGAGCAGCGUGGCUAGCCAGGAUUUGGCUCGACAAAAGGCAGGAGUGAAUGGGAAGUAAAGAAAAUGGCCAAGGGCAUGGACAACUGGAAGGCCUUCAAUGGUGAGGGAGAUUGGUGUUUUGGGACAAGGAUCAUCUAUUAUUCUGUUUAUUCACUGCUGAGCCCAGUGGAGCCUUGCCUGGAACAACUGACUGGGUCCUUUUGCCACUCCCAUACAAAGCAUAAUAAUAAUUCUUUAACCAUCCUUGCCCCUACUGCUGUAUGUUGCUGUGAUUCUCCAGUCCCCUCAAGCUGACAGCUCUGCUAGAGACCAUGAAUGACAUCCAUUGUGAGCAAGAAGGGCACAGCAUCUUAGACCUGCAACCUGUAGCAAGAACCCUUGAAUUCUGUAUAGAACAUUUAAUGUGCUGGAAAGCUGUCAACUACAAGAUUCUGAAUUGAUUUUGAGGACAUGAUCCUGUUUUCAUUGAUGCUAGUGAUAGUUAAUUGACGUCAGCUGGAACAGGAUUGGGUCCUAUCUGUGAAUUUUCUCCAUUACAAGCUUAAAAAUAUUAUGAACUAUAGUCCAAAGCAUUCUGGAUGGGUCUCAGAACAAAAGUGAAGAAUGUCUGUUAACGCGUUGGAGUUUCUGUGGCUGUGUAUGUUAGAUAGACAGAGACAGAAACAGAGGAGAAAGUAUUAUUAUUUAUUACUCAAAGACCCUGCUGUUGCAACUGAUAGUGAGUGGACCAUGCUGAAGUCUUUGCAUCUCUCUCCUAUCAGAUGAAGAAACUGAGGCACAGAAGCUAAGUGGCUUAUCCAAGGCUACACAAAGGACUUUGAUGUUGGAGCAUCAAUUGUUUGGAGCAUCCAUGUUGGAGCAUUAAUCUUUAGGAGUUCCAGUUUAUUUGUAAUAGUUGGGGAAAACUGCUGAAGAACAGUUCAUGCAUGUAAAAGUCUGACCUCUCUAAAUUGUCAAGAUUGGUGGGGUCUUUAGUCAUUUACUUAGUGAGCAUUAGUGACAAAUGCAUCUGGGUCAGCUAUAUCGUAUACAUAGAAUUUCCUUAAGACUUUGCAGUGGAGAAGAAAAUAUUAGCUGAGAACCUUUUUUGUAGCAGGGGUUCCUUUCUCUGCAUUUACUAGCCUCUUGUUUAUAUGUCACUCUUGUAUAACUGGCAAAUUAACCAAGCUGCAUGUCAAAACAUGUUGUAGGAGGUCUCUUGCAGAUUUUGAGUAAUUUGAAGAGAAGUAUAAAGUAGGGCCACUUCAUUUAACCCUGGUUGAAUGGUGCGUAAGAUCUCUGAGAAGUUAUUUAGUAAUCAUCUUAAAUUCCUAAUGCUGUGUUUAGGGGGAAAAAGAAUUCCUUGGACUGUACCUUGGAGGCUAUAGUUGCAAUAAAAUCUAGGAAAAGGUUAUUUUACCUGAAUGUAUCGCUUAGCAACCAAGAAUCCACCUCCAGAGAAUGCUGUUCUGUGGGUUACCAAGUAACUGACUGUGACAAUUACCAAACAGCUGGUCCACUAAUCUACAUACCCUUUAACCUUAGUCAGCUGAAAGAUGGACUGAUGACAGCUAACAAACAAUAGAAACACACCCUAAUAUUUUAUUUAAAGGCUGAGGAAAGCCACAGCUGUAUGGAUCAUUCAGCCAGCUGGAUUUAACUGUUUCCACUUGUCUAUCAUGCCUACAAGAAGCUGUUACAUAGCACAGCUCUGCAAUGUAUUUGAAAACAUAUUAGUACUUCCAUUAUCCAAAAAUGUUACAUAAUGGUAAAAUCCACUGAUUGAGAAGAUAUUUCUACACUGUAAUGCAGAAAUGGAAAGCAGCUAAUUAUGAACUGGCUUGGUGAUAAUAGAAAAUCUUUGUUUUAGCUACAUUCAUUAAAAUGUAGUAAGUCUCAAAAUUUGUCAUAGUGAGUUUGACAGAAUAUAGCCAUUUCACAUACAAUCAGCUGUACUUAUUAGGUGCUGUUAAAUAUCAAAAAAGGAAUUAUUUACAAUACUGAAUGGUGGCAUACCUAGGAACAAUGGGAACACUGGGAGAGAAAAUUUAGGCUGAGAUCUGCAAAAAACUUCUUGACAAUGAGAAGCAUUCUAUUUUGGAGUGGUCUCUCAAGGGAAAUGACAGUGCUACAGACAUCAAGAAAUGUCAAAAUGGACUGGAAACAUGAGAAUGAAUAUUCCAGUGACCAGUCCUGGACUGGUGAAGGAGCAGAUAUAGUUUCUUUUUCAUUUUGAACUUUGGAGCUUUACAAAGACAAGCAAAUAGCAAAACAAUAUUGUAAUGAUGUUCUAGAUCCAGGGCACUCAACCUCCGGCUCACAGGCCAAAUGCAGCCUGUGGAGCCUUGGAAUCUGACCUGUGAGGCUCCCCAUGGGUCAGGAAAUUUGGUGGGUGGGGGAGCAGUAGCAGUUAGUACUGCCAUGCCACCCCACUGCCAAAAUCCCAAACCCUACCCGGUGGAUCAGAACUAGGCCAUGACUCUCCCCCUGCCCAGCCAGAUCAGUGCUAGGCCAUGUCCCCUUUCCGCUGCAUGGCCAGGUUAGUAAUGUGCUGUGACCCCUUCUCCCCAUGGGGCCAGGACGUGGCCCCCCUAUGUGAUUGGAUCAUGACCAGGACACAGCCUUUCCAACCCCCCCAGAUUGGGGCCAAGGCAUGCCCCUUUUCCUCUGUGGGGCUGGGCCAUACCGCCCCUCCCCCCCAAUCUGGACAGGUUGGGGUGGCCAAACCCCUCUUCUUCCAUGGGGUUGGGCCAUGCCUUCUCCCCCAGCAGAACUGGAUCAGAGCUGGGUUAUGCCCCCUUCUCUACACAGGGCCAGGUUGGGGCUGGGGCAAAUCCUCUUCCAUGUGGCUGAAUUGGUGACUGGCUGUCUGUUUCUGUGGCCAGAUGGAGCCCCAUAACACCUUCCCUGGGUGCUGGAUUGGGUCCACCAGCCAGAUCUGGCCCAAGAAGGGACUGCCUUAUCCAACCCACUGGACAAAAAGGUUGAGAAGCACUGUUCUAGAUGCAACUUGCUUAGGCACUGAGUCCACUGACUUGGGCAUAUGCCUGACUUCGUAACCUUGAAGUACACAUUCCAUAUAUAGCAAAAUGAAAAACAUAAGAUGUGUUAUAGGUCUGGAGCCUCACUUGUAGUUAGAAACCUCAAAUACUCUGCCUGUGGGAGAGUUCAAAUUCUCCCUAGAUGAAAUCUUGGCUAGGUGCAUGUAGCAGAGUGACAGUAAUGGGAACUCAGUUGUGUUUCACUCAUUCUGUAUUAGGCUGGCCCUUCAUAUGGAUUAACUGGAACUUUAUGCCGUGUCCUGCCUGCCCUUUUCUCUCUCAGCACAACCCAGGUGCCAGGCAGUUGGGAUGUAGUGUUAAAAGUUAUAAUUUUGAGAUGCUUCCCAAUUGAGAAGACCUAAGAAGUUGGGAAAUGGUACCCAAGUUUGAGAGUAUUUGGUUAGUCGUGGACAGGAGGACCGCAGAGGCUUACCUACUGCACCACAAUAAGAGUUUCUGUUUAAUUCUUUUCAUUCCUUCUUUAUUGAAGUCAAAGAACAUUUUCUGGUGUCAGAAUGGCAAAUGAGAAGAAACUUGAAAGAAGUUGAGAUUCAAAAUCAAAGAAGUUGGAAAUUGAACAUGGAGCAACAUAAGCAUGUGGGAGGAUAACGGCAUCUGUAAGAGAUCUGCCUACCCAGCCAUAGUUUAAGAAAGAAGACAGUUUUGGAAGCGUUGCAACCACCACCUGCCCUUCUAGAGAAGGGAAGGGCAAAGGCUUGAGUGGAUAAGCUAUAAGGGCAGAAGAGAAAAUUGAUAAAGUCAAAUCCUUACAUGUCUUGCAGGAAAUCUUCACACUGAGGCAGGAAUCCCUGGGUGCUUAUAACAACUUGACUUUUGUAGUUAAAUGCCAAAAUAUGUCAUUAAAUAUAAUACUGUCCAAAUUUGAGGAAUAUUGCAUAUCAAAAAGAGACUGCGACCCUUGAAAGACAGAUUUUUGUGUGCGAACAAACAGGAGAAAGUAUAGCUCAAUACAUUACUGAAAUAAAGAGGCCGAGUAAGAACUGUGCUUUUGGGAACUUGACAGAAUCUCUGAUUAGAGAUAGGAUUAUUUGUGGCAUUGCAGAUAAUUUAUUACAAGAGAGACUAUUGAAUGAGGGAGACUUAUGCCUAGGAAAGACUAUUCAGAUUGGCAGGGAAGUGGAAACUAUGAAGACCCAGGCUGCAGAGCAGAAUACACUAAAAGGGGGCUUCCAUGCAUUAUGCAUGAAAGAAUGCAUCUGGGAAAAGCCACCUCACAGCAUGGAGUUUUUCAUUGGUAAGAAGCUACCUCACAGAGUGGAAUUUUCCUUGGACAAGGAGACUACUAAGGGGUGGGCAUGCAGCACGUGUGGAAGAUAGCAUGGCCCCAAUCACCGACCUCCAUUUGGAAAGCUCUGUAAUAAAUUAGGUAAGAAGAACCAUUUUACCAACUGUUGCAGAUCCCAAACAUGAAACCUUCAAGUGCCUAUAACUAGAAUAUAACCUAUAGCCAGAUAAAGAGUUUAUGUAGAUAGGGUGGAAUUGAGCAAAACCCAGGGACUUUGCCAGUGGAGGUGCAAGAAGAAAUUGGAGCUCAGGCUAGUAUUUUACCACUGUCAGGACCUAGUCCCAAACCCCUGACCCAAGCACCAGCUCAGCCCUUCACCAGGCUCACAGCUCAUGAAGGAAAGCAGAGAGGUAAGGGAAGGCCUUCUGCUGGCUCCUGAUUGGCUUAGGUCUCCUGGCCCCUGAUUGGAUCCUUCUGCCUAUUUAAGGCUCCUGUUCUUGAACUGUGCUGCUGCUGCCUUGCCUUUGUGCUCUGACACUAGAUUUGACCAGCUGUUGCUGAUCCUGCUCAGACUUUGACCUCCACCUUUGCCUCAAGUCUUGGAUUGUUGGAACUUGGUUCUCACAGGUAUCUGACCUGGCUUGCUCCCUGACCUUGCUCUGUCUAGUGUUUCAGCCCUGGCUUGGACUCUGACCCUUUGGCUUUAACCCUGGCUUCCCCUCGGACCUUGGCUAACAGCUUGUGCAGCCCAGCAGCCAGAUCACCUAUGCCUCAGUACUUGAUAUGGAGCAUGAAUAUAAAAAAAUUGAAAUUGAAGCAUCUAGUCUUACAGGAGAGUAUAUAAACUCCCAUUCAGUAUGGUACCUAGGAGUCCCAAUUUUGGGCAGCGUAUGAGAAACUGAAUCUGAAUCUAGGUAAGUAUAUGCUUUCAGUACAAGACUGCAAGCAUGGGAUCUGAGACACAUAUGUCAGCUUACAAGGAUUUAUUCAGAGGGCUAGGUUCAGGGGUGAUGUGUAGGGGGUGCACAUGCACCCCCUGAGCAUGGCGGUGCACCCCCUACAUAAAGGCACUGCUGACAGUGUCAGCGGUGCCUGCGGGCGGUUGCCACUCACCACCCUCCCCACCGCCAACACCUCUAGUGGUGUCUGCAGGUGGUCAGUGAUCCCCACUGGCUGCUGUCGAUGCUGCUGCCAGCGUCUGUGGGUGGUCACCAGCCCCUGGCUGUCACUUGCCACCCCGCCGCUAACAGCACCGGUGGUGUCCGUGGGAGCUCCCACUUAACGCUGCUACACUCUUGCCACCACCGUGUCCCUCCCCAGGCAGCAGGGGCAUGUGUCAUUCAUGGCUAGGUUGCUUGCUAGAUGAAUGAUUAGUGAUAUAUUAAUUUGUCAGUGACAAAUUUAUGCAUCCUGAUGAUCCUCUUGGCCAUCAUGGUCCAAAUCUGGACAGUUUUCUUAGAAAGAAACCAAUUGUUCCAGACGACAAGAAACAAGCAUGUAUUUAUGGGAAGAAACGUACAUAUGGCACAAAUUACAAAUACUCGUAUCCGGAAAGAGAGAAUCUGCUUCAGCUGUUUGUAGCUUAUGAACUUUGUGUCAUGUCCAGAAGCACAGCUUCCAAAAUUGCAAAUGAAGGAGGACUAGGAAAAAGCAAUAGUGUUCUAUGUAGCACUAAGAAUGAAGCCACUUCCAAUCUCAAAUAUACUACUCCAAAGAGGCAAUCAGAGCCCAGCAUAUCAAUCCAAGACAUGGAGAAAAAGCUUCCCACCAAAAACAAACUGGAAACCAGGUCUGAUAUUUUGUUGAAGUGAGAGGGGAGUGAAACCACCUAAAAGAGUCAGAGUUUUGCUAGAAGAACUGAAGAAAAGGGGGAAUGAGAAAGUGAGUGGUAAGAACUCACUUCAGAGUAACUUGCCAGUAACCUCUCCUCUGUAGAUGACUGUGACAGAGCACCUUUGGGUGCCUGCCACUUUAAGAGUGAGAGCAGACAGCAGGGCAACUGGCAGGUGUGGGCCAGCCUUGAUGGGCCAGGAAACUGGCUACAAGGUAGGACCCAGAGAAUUCUCAUAAACAGAUCUCAUAGAGUUCAUAGACAUUAGGACUGGAAGGGACCUUGGAAGAUCAUCGAGUCCAGCCCCCUGCCCCAGGGGCAGGAAGUCAGCUGGGAUCAAAGGAUCCCAGCAAGAUAAACAUCCAACUCUGGAGGCAAUCUAUUCCAGGCCUUGGGGGCUUGGACAGUAAAGAAGUUUUUCCUUAUGUCCAGCCUGAAACGGUCUUGGAGGAGUUUGUGAUCAUUUGACCUUGUCAUCCCUUGGGGCGCUCUGAUGAAAAGGCGUUCCCCCAGAUCCUGAUGUACACUCCUUAUAUACUUAUAGGCAGCCACCAGGUCCUCCCGGAGCCUGCACUUUUCCAGGCUGAAGAGUCCCAUAGCUCUCAGGCUCUCAUCAUAGGGCGUGUUCUCCUGCCCUCUAAUCAUGCAUGUGGCUCUCCUCUGGACUCUCUCAAGCUUUUCCACGUCCUUUUUAAAUUGUGGAGCCCAGAAUUGGAUGCAGUACUCCAGCUGUGGCCUCACCAAGACUGAGUACAGCAGGAGGAUGACAUCCUGGGAUUUGCUUGAGUAGCAUCUAUGGAUGCAAGCCAGAGUUUUGCUCACUUUACCAGCUGCAACAUUGCAUUGGUGGCUCAUAUUCAUCUUGUGGUCAAUCGUGACCCCCAAGUCCCUUUCGGCCGUGGUGCUAGCAAGCGUAGCACUGAUGAGCCUCUAAGUGUGCUGUGGGAUUUUUUUCCCCAAAGUGGAGUACCUUGCAUUUUUUGGUGUUGAAUGCUGUCAGGUUUUUGCCCACCCAUUUUCUGAGCCUGUCAAGGUUGGCCUGGAUCACCAUCCUGUCCUCAGGUGUGGAUGCUUUACCCCAAACUUUGGUGUCAUCGGUGAACUUGGCCAGUCCACUUCUGACACCAAUGUCUACAUCAUUAAUAAAGAUGUUAAAGAGUAUAGGCCCUUGGGGGAGUCUUGGGGGACCCCACUAGUCACGGUGCACCACAAUGAUUUAUUUCCAUUAUUACCACUCUCUGGGUCCAACCUCAGAGCCAAUUCCUUAGCCAUAGGACUGUGAUGUAGCUGAGGCCGCAGUUGGCCAAUUUUUCCAUGAGGAGAUCAUGGGACACCAGAUCAAAAGCUUUUUUAAAGUCAAGAUAUAUGAUGUCAAUCUCUUCUUCAUUGUCCAGGUGAUAUGUCACCUGGUCAUAGAAGGAGAUGAGAUUGGUUAGGCAAGACCUACCUGCAAGAAACCCAUGCUGGCUAUCCAUCAGGAUGUUGCCAUCAGUCAGUUUGUCAAGAAUGGACUCUUUGAUAUUUUUUUCCAAGAUCUUCCCUGGGAUAGAGGUGAGGCUGAUAGGCCUGUAAUUCCCCGGAUCUGCUUUCCUCCUUUUCUUGAAGAUAGGCAUCACAUUGGCCUUCUUCCAAUCUUCAGGCACUUCAGCUGAGCGCCACGAGUUCUCGAAGAUCCGUGCCAUUGGCUGAGCUAUGAUGCCUCAAGUCAGCUGGCCCAGACAGUUUACACUCCAGGGUACUCAAGGAGCAGGGGGUCGGGCACAAUGAUCCAUUGCGUCCCUUCCAACUCUAUAAUCUAUGAAUUUAGGAACCCCCUGUUGGGGGGGACGAACCCCCUGUUGGGGGGUUGUAGCCCUUGUGUGCGGACUGCAUCCCCUGUUGGGGGCCAGAACCCCUGUGUGGGGGCCAUUGCCCCUUGGGAGGGUAGCAAAAUAUAUAUUCAUGUAUUCAUGAAACAUGUAUUUAGAGUUCACUUUAUUAUUAUGAUAAGAGAGGUACUUUAACACUGUACAUAUAUCAAUAAAACGUUGUCCAACUGGU